GAUGAACGCUGGCGGCGUGCUUAACACAUGCAAGUCGAACGGUGAACGAGGGAGCUUGCUCCCUCCGGAUCAGUGGCGAACGGGUGAGUAACACGUGAGCAAUCUGCCCUGGACUCUGGGAUAAGCGUUGGAAACGACGUCUAAUACCGGAUACGAGGCGUGGGGGCAUCCCCAACGCCUGGAAAGAACUUCGGUCCAGGAUGAGCUCGCGGCCUAUCAGCUAGUUGGUGAGGUAACGGCUCACCAAGGCGACGACGGGUAGCCGGCCUGAGAGGGUGACCGGCCACACUGGGACUGAGACACGGCCCAGACUCCUACGGGAGGCAGCAGUGGGGAAUAUUGCACAAUGGGCGCAAGCCUGAUGCAGCAACGCCGCGUGAGGGACGACGGCCUUCGGGUUGUAAACCUCUUUUAGCAGGGAAGAAGCGAAAGUGACGGUACCUGCAGAAAAAGCGCCGGCUAACUACGUGCCAGCAGCCGCCGUAAGAC
rnacentral:rRNA from 1 species